AGUGAACGCUGGCGGCGUGCUUAACACAUGCAAGUCGAACGAGAACGGAUUAUAGCUUGCUAUAAUUGUCAGCUAAGUGGCGCACGGGUGAGUAAUGUAUAGGUAAUAUGCCUCUUACUAAGGGAUAACAGUUGGAAACGAUUGCUAAUACCUUAUAUUCCUUUUUAUCAAAAGAUAAAAAGGGAAAGAUUUAUUGGUAAGAGAUUAGCCUGUAUUGUAUCAGUUAGUUGGUGGGGUAAUGGCCUACCAAGACGAUGACGCAUAACUGGUUUGAGAGGAUGAUCAGUCACACUGGAACUGAGACACGGCCCAGACUCCUACGGGAGGCAGCAGUGGGGAAUAUUGCACAAUGGACGAAAGUCUGAUGCAGCAACGCCGCGUGGAGGAUGACACAUUUCGGUGCGUAAACUCCUUUUAUAUAAGAAGAUAAUGACGGUAUUAUAUGAAUAAGCACCGGCUAACUCCGUGCCAGCCGCCGCCGUAA
rnacentral:rRNA from 1 species